UGCCAGCAGCCGCGGUUAUACGGAGGGUGCAAGCGUUGUUCGGAAUUAUUGGGCGUAAAGCGCGUGUAGGCGGUUCGUUAAGUCUGAUGUGAAAGCCCGGGGCUCAACCCCGGAAGUGCAUUGGAAACUGCCUUGCUUGAGUGCGGUAGGGGAGCGGGGAAUUCCUGGUGUAGCGGUGAAAUGCGCAGAUAUUAGGAGGAACACCAGUGGCGAAGGCGCCGCUCUGGGCCGUAACUGACGCUGAGGAGCGAAAGCAUGGGUAGCAAACAGGAUUAGAUA
rnacentral:rRNA from 1 species